CACAUGCAAGUCGAGGGGUAUAGUUCUUCGGGACUAGAGACCGGCGCACGGGUGCGUAACGCGUAUGCAAUCUACCUUGUACAGAGGGAUAGCCCAGAGAAAUUUGGAUUAAUACCUCAUAGUGUUAUUGAAUGGCAUCAUUUAAUAACUAAAGUUCUAACGGUACAAGAUGAGCAUGCGUCCCAUUAGUUAGUUGGUAAGGUAACGGCUUACCAAGACAAUGAUGGGUAGGGGUCCUGAGAGGGAGAUCCCCCACACUGGUACUGAGACACGGACCAGACUCCUACGGGAGGCAGCAGUGAGGAAUAUUGGACAAUGGGCGCAAGCCUGAUCCAGCCAUGCCGCGUGCAGGAUGACUGCCCUAUGGGUUGUAAACUGCUUUUAUACAGGAAGAAACACUGCUACGUGUAGCAGCUUGACGGUACUGUAGGAAUAAGGAUCGGCUAACUCCGUGCCAGCAGCCGCGGUAAUACGGAGGAUCCAAGCGUUAUCCGGAAUCAUUGGGUUUAAAGGGUCCGUAGGCGGCCUUAUAAGUCAGUGGUGAAAUCUCCUAGCUCAACUAGGAAACUGCCAUUGAUACUGUAGGGCUUGAAUUUUUAGGAAGUAACUAGAAUAUGUAGUGUAGCGGUGAAAUGCUUAGAUAUUACAUGGAAUACCAAUUGCGAAGGCAGGUUACUACUAAUGGAUUGACGCUGAUGGACGAAAGCGUGGGUAGCGAACAGGAUUAGAUACCCUGGUAGUCCACGCCGUAAACGAUGGAUACUAGCUGUUCGGUCUUCGGACUGAGUGGCUAAGCGAAAGUGAUAAGUAUCCCACCUGGGGAGUACGCACGCAAGUGUGAAACUCAAAGGAAUUGACGGGGGCCCGCACAAGCGGUGGAGCAUGUGGUUUAAUUCGAUGAUACGCGAGGAACCUUACCAGGGCUUAAAUGGGAGACGACAGGACUGGAAACAGUUUUUUCUUCGGACG
rnacentral:rRNA from 1 species